CCUACGGGAGGUAGCAGUGGGGGAUAUUGCACAAUGGGGGGAACCCUGAUGCAGCGACGCCGCGUGGGUGAAGAAGCGCCUCGGCGCGUAAAGCCCUGUCAGCAGGGAAGAAAAUGACGGUACCUGACGAAGAAGCCCCGGCUAACUACGUGCCAGCAGCCGCGGUAAUACGUAGGGGGCAAGCGUUAUCCGGAUUUACUGGGUGUAAAGGGGGCGCAGACGGGGUUGCAAGCCAGGAGUGAAAGCCCGGGGCCCAACCACGGGACUGCUCUUGGAACUGCGUGGCUGGAGUGCAGGAGGGGCAGGCGGAAUUCCUGGUGUAGCGGUGAAAUGCGUAGAGAUCAGGAGGAACACUGGUGGCGAAGGCGGCCUGCUGGACUGCAACUGACGUUGAGGCGCGAAAGCGUGGGGAGCAAACAGGAUUAGAUACCCCAGUAGUC
rnacentral:rRNA from 1 species